GACGAACGCUGGCGGCGUGCCUAAUACAUGCCAGUUGAGCGAUGAAGAUUGGUGCUUGCACCAAUUUGAAGAGCAGCGAACGGGUGAGUAACGCGUGGGGAAUCUGCCUUUGAGCGGGGGACAACAUUUGGAAACGAAUGCUAAUACCGCAUAACAACUUUAAACAUAAGUUUUAAGUUUGAAAGAUGCAAUUGCAUCACUCAAAGAUGAUCCCGCGUUGUAUUAGCUAGUUGGUGAGGUAAAGGCUCACCAAGGCGAUGAUACAUAGCCGACCUGAGAGGGUGAUCGGCCACAUUGGGACUGAGACACGGCCCAAACUCCUACGGGAGGCAGCAGUAGGGAAUCUUCGGCAAUGGACGAAAGUCUGACCGAGCAACGCCGCGUGAGUGAAGAAGGUGUUCGGAUCGUAAAACUCUGUUGGUAGAGAAGAACGUUGGUGAGAGUGGAAAGCUCAUCAAGUGACGGUAACUACCCAGAAAGGGACGGCUAACUACGUGC
rnacentral:rRNA from 1 species